AUCUACGGCUACACCACCCUGAAUGUGCCCGAUCUCACCCGAUCUUGGAAGCUAAGCAGGGUUGGACCUAGUUAGUUCUUGGAUGGGACAACUCCUGCUCCAGAUCAGUAGUUCUGAACUAGGGUGUUGUAGGAC
rnacentral:rRNA from 1 species